rnacentral:SRP_RNA from 1 species
CUUCGGGCUCCGCACAACGUAGUGCCGGUGAACCCCGCCAGACCGGGAACGGAGCAACGGUAGCCAGGUGCGCGUGUGUUGCGGGUAAGUCCGGAGUCU